UUAAGUGUCGUAAGGGCAAUUGGUGGAUGCCUUGGCAUGCACAGGCGAUGAAGGACGUGAUACGCUGCGAUAAGCCGUGGGGAGCUGCGAAUGAGCUUUGAUCCAUGGAUUUCCGAAUGGGGAAACCCACCUUAAAUGCUUGGAAAAUCCAAACUGACAGCGAUGUCGGCUUGGGUUUCCAAGCAUUGUGAUAAGGUAUCUUACUUUCGAAUACAUAGGGGUAAGAAGCGAACGCAGGGAACUGAAACAUCUAAGUACCUGCAGGAAAGGACAUCAACCGAGACUCCGCAAGUAGUGGCGAGCGAACGCGGACCAGGCCAGUGGCAAUGCUGAAUAAAGUGGAACGGAAUGGAAAGUCCGGCCUUAGCGGGUGAUAGCCCCGUACACGUAGAACAGGCAUUGUCCUUGAGUAAGGCGGGACACGUGAAAUCCUGUCUGAACAUGGGGAGACCACUCUCCAAGCCUAAGUACUCGUGCAUGACCGAUAGCGAACAAGUACCGUGAGGGAAAGGUGAAAAGCACCCCGACAAGGGGAGUGAAAUAGAACCUGAAACCGGUUGCCUACAAGCAGUUGGAGGGCGCAAGCCUGACAGCGUACCUUUUGUAUAAUGGGUCAACGACUUAGUGUAACUAGCAAGCUUAAGCCGGUAGGUGUAGGCGCAGCGAAAGCGAGUGUUAAUAGCGCGAUCAUAGUUAGUUGCAUUAGACCCGAAACCGAGUGAUCUAGCCAUGAGCAGGUUGAAGGUUGGGUAACACCAACUGGAGGACCGAACCCGCAUCUGUUGCAAUAGAUUGGGAUGACUUGUGGCUAGGGGUGAAAGGCCAAUCAAACUCGGAGAUAGCUGGUUCUCCGCGAAAUCUAUUUAGGUAGAGCGUCGACCGAAUACCUCAGGGGGUAGAGCACUGGAUGGGCUAUGGGGACUCACCGUCUUACUGAUCCUAACCAAACUCCGAAUACCUGAGAGUACUAGUCGGCAGACACACGGCGGGUGCUAACGUCCGUCGUGAAAAGGGCAACAACCCUGACCUCCAGCUAAGGUCCCCAAGUCAUGGCUAAGUGGGAAAGGAUGUGAGGAUCCCAAAACAACCAGGAUGUUGGCUUAGAAGCAGCCAUCAUUUAAAGAAAGCGUAACAGCUCACUGGUCUAAAUAAGGGUCUUUGCGCCGAAAAUGUAACGGGGCUAAAGCCAUGCACCGAAGCUGAGGAUGUAUCGCAAGAUACGUGGUAGCGGAGCGUUCCGUAAGCCUGCGAAGGAGGACCCGUGAGGGCCUCUGGAGGUAUCGGAAGUGCGAAUGUUGACAUGAGUAACGAUAAAGAGGGUGAGAGACCCUCUCGCCGAAAGACCAAGGGUUCCUGCUUAAAGUUAAUCUGAGCAGGGUUAGCCGGCCCCUAAGACGAGGCGGACACGCGUAGUCGAUGGGAACCACGUUAAUAUUCGUGGGCCUGGUGGUAGUGACGGAUUGCGUAACUUGUUCAGACUUAUUGGAUUGUCUGGGCGGGGAAGCGGUUCCAGGAAAUAGCUCCACCGUAUAGACCGUACCCGAAACCGACACAGGUGGUCAGGUAGAGCAUACCAAGGCGCUUGAGAGAACUCUGCUGAAGGAACUCGGCAAAUUGCACGCGUAACUUCGGAAGAAGCGUGACCCCAAGGUACGCAAGUAUUUUGGGGUGGCACAGACCAGGGGGUAGCGACUGUUUAUCAAAAACACAGGGCUCUGCGAAGUCGCAAGACGACGUAUAGGGUCUGACGCCUGCCCGGUGCUGGAAGGUUAAGAGGAGAGGUGCAAGCUUUGAAUCGAAGCCCCAGUAAACGGCGGCCGUAACUAUAACGGUCCUAAGGUAGCGAAAUUCCUUGUCGGGUAAGUUCCGACCUGCACGAAUGGCGUAACGACUUCCCCGCUGUCUCCAGCAGAGACUCAGUGAAAUUGAAUUCCCCGUGAAGAUGCGGGGUUCCUGCGGUUAGACGGAAAGACCCCGUGCACCUUUACUAUAGCUUUACACUGGCAUUCGUGUCGGCAUGUGUAGGAU
rnacentral:rRNA from 1 species